AGGGAGGGAGGGAAGGAGGGAGGGAGGGAGCAGCAUCUGUGAAGGCUGCCAUAGAAACCACAGGUGCUGUCUUCUCCUUCCAG
rnacentral:miRNA from 1 species